rnacentral:rRNA from 1 species
UACGGAGGGUGCAAGCGUUAUCCGGAUUCACUGGGUUUAAAGGGUGCGUAGGCGGGCCGGUAAGUCAGUGGUGAAAUCUCCGGGCUCAACCCGGAAACUGCCAUUGAUACUAUCAGUCUUGAAUAUCGUGGAGGUAAGCGGAAUAUGUCAUGUAGCGGUGAAAUGCUUAGAUAUGACAUAGAACACCAAUUGCGAAGGCAGCUUACUGGGAGAAUAUUGACACUGAGGCACGAAAGCGUGGGGAGCAAACAGG